rnacentral:rRNA from 1 species
GUCGAGAAUCUUUCUCAAUGGGCGAAAGCCUGAAGGAGCGACGCCGCGUGGGGGAUGAAUGGCUUCGGCCCGUAAACCCCUGUCAUUCGCGAGCAAGAUCUGCUAUUUAAAAGAUGGCAGGUUUGAUAGUAGCGGAAGAGGAAGGGACGGCUAACUCUGUGCCAGCAGCCGCGGUAAUACAGAGGUCCCAAGCGUUGUUCGGAUUCACUGGGCGUAAAGGGUGCGUAGGUGGUGAGGUAAGUCUGGUGUGAAAGCUCCGAGCUCAACUCGGAAAUGGCAUCAGAAACUACCCCGCUAGAGGAUUGGAGGGGGGACUGGAAUUCUCGGUGUAGCAGUGAAAUGCGUAGAUAUCGAGAGGAACACCAGUGGCGAAGGCGAGUCCCUGGACAACUCCUGACACUGAGGCACGAAAGCUAGGGGAGCAAACAGGAUUAGAUACCCUAGUAGUCC